rnacentral:rRNA from 1 species
UAAUACUCCAUAGAUUAGAGACACUGGAAUGUUCUUUAGUCGAAAGUUCUGGCGCCUUAGGAUGGAUCUGCGGUCGAUUAGGUUGUUGUUGGGGUAACGGCCCAACAAGCCUGUAAUCGAUACGGGUUGUGGGAGCAAGAGCCCGGAGAUGGAAUCUGAGACACGAUUCCAGGCCCUACGGGGCGCAGCAGGCGCGAAAACUUUACAAUGCAGGAAACUGUGAUAAGGGAACUCCGAGUGCCCGUAUACGCGGGCUGUCCAGGUGUUUAAAAAUCAUCUGAAGAAAGGGCCGGGCAAGACCGGUGCCAGCCGCCGCGGUAAUACCGGCGGCUCGAGUGGUGGCCACUAUUAUUGGGCUUAAAGCGUCCGUAGCUGGACCGAUAAGUCUCUUGGGAAAUCCGCCGGCUCAACCGGCGGGCGUCUAAGGGAUACUGUUAGUCUAGGGACCGGGAGAGGUGAGAGGUACUCCGGGGGUAGGAGUGAAAUCCUGUAAUCCCCGGGGGACCACCGAUGGCGAAGGCAUCUCACCAGAACGGCUCCGACAGUGAGGGACGAAAGCUGGGGGAGCGAACCGGAUUAGAUACCCGGUAGUCCCAGCCGUAACUAUGCGCGUUAGGUGUAC